CAGUAGCCGCGGUAAUACGAAGGGUGCAAGCGUUACUCGGAAUUACUGGGCGUAAAGCGCACGCAGGCGGUCUGUCAAGUCAGAUGUGAAAUCCCCGGGCUUAACCUGGGAACUGCAUUUGAAACUGGCAGGCUAGAGUCUUGUAGAGGGGGGUAGAAUUCCAGGUGUAGCGGUGAAAUGCGUAGAGAUCUGGAGGAAUACCGGUGGCGAAGGCGGCCCCCUGGACAAAGACUGACGCUCAGGUGCGAAAGCGUGGGGAGCAAACAGGAUUAGAUACCCCGGUAGUCCCUGUCUCUUAUAC
rnacentral:rRNA from 1 species